rnacentral:lncRNA from 1 species
UUAGUCAAACUCGACAAGACAUCGCAUCUCGUGCCUACGUAUCUCAUCUGGACAUGAGAAUCAUAGUUGCCGUAGUUCGGCUAAACUAUUCCCGUUAGUUUGUGUUUUUUAAGUGGACAACGUCACUGCGCAAUCUACCUGAUGCUCGACCUUUAGAGACUUACUCACCUGUAGUAGAAGGAGUUAACGUAUCCUUAAGAGGGAAUAAUGUUUGUUUGUGUUUUAGGAAAGCUCAAGCAAGAAAGGAAGUCUUAUACGAAGGAACCGUGCUACCUUAAUUGACAUGCAAACGAGACUACACGGAGUCUAACAAACCUAGGGGAUACAAUCACACCAUACAAGCACAUACAGC